rnacentral:tRNA from 1 species
UCCCUGGUAGCUCAGUUGGUAGAGCAGGUGGCUGUUAACCACCGUGUCGCAGGUUCGAGUCCUGCCCGGGGAGCCA